UUUUGUCCACUGAAAUACCCAUUUUUUCCUAAGUCGCCCUUUCGGGUUUUCAACUUAGUGGACUUGUAUUUUUUGUUUUAUCCCUAACUUUUUCAUGGACAUUUCUUUAUUUGGGUCCAUCGGGAUAUCCAUUUUUGCCUAGAUUGGUUCUUUGCAGAUGCCAACCUAGCGGGCUUUGUAUUCAUCAUUUUUUCUAGCAUAGUAUUUUUUGAUUGUAUCUGAAUUCACCGGCAUCGACAAGUC
rnacentral:lncRNA from 1 species